rnacentral:rRNA from 1 species
GAUGAACGCUGGCGGCGUGCCUAAUACAUGCAAGUCGAGCGAACAGAUAAGGAGCUUGCUCCUUUGACGUUAGCGGCGGACGGGUGAGUAACACGUGGAUAACCUACCUAUAAGACUGGGAUAACUUCGGGAAACCGGAGCUAAUACCGGAUAACAUAUUGAACCGCAUGGUUCAAUAGUGAAAGGCGGCUUUGCUGUCACUUAUAGAUGGAUCCGCGCCGUAUUAGCUAGUUGGUAAGGUAACGGCUUACCAAGGCAACGAUACGUAGCCGACCUGAGAGGGUGCUCGGCCACAGUGACACUGAGACACGGUCCAGACCCCUGGGGGCGGCGGAAGUAGGAAAUCUCCCGCAGUGGGCGAAAGCCUGACGGAACACCGCCGGGUGAGUGAUAAAGGUCUUCGAAUCAAAAAACUCUUUUAACGGGGAAGAAAAAAGGGGAAAGUAACUGUGCACUUCUGGCGGUUACAUAAUCAAAAGGCCACGACAACCCAGGAC